rnacentral:lncRNA from 1 species
GUUUAGUAUCUAAUUUUGUUUGCGGAGAAAGUAGCGGUUUUUUGUUGUUUGAAACGAACGUAUUAAUGUGUGUAAAUGUAUUUUGAUAGCAAAGUCAAUACAAUACAAUACAAUACAAUUUUAUUCAGUACCGGUAGUAAUACAUACAUAAAUAUAAAAUAAAGAUAAAGUUACGAAAAGAAGGUACUAGCUAACUGUAAUAACCAAAAGGCUAAUGGAGACAGUCAGCGAAUUUGAUUAGUAACAAAAUAUAUUUUAGUGGGUAAACUGAAUAAAUAAAACACAUGCAAUAAAGAUUUCAAAAUGGACAAUUUUGAUGCUAUAAGCUAAUAUGAAUUCAAUAUAUUAUUUUUAAGUUUGUGUUUAAACUGUGAUUUAGAAAGACCCUUAAGAUUUUCGUCAAUUGAAUUCCACACAUUACUGCCAACAAAACGUAUAUUAAAUUUUCCAUAGUUGGUUCUUACUUUUGGAAGGGAGUAUGACGAUCUCGAAGCAAGUCUGGUGUUAUAAUUAUGUUUCUGGCUUACUAAUGCAAAAUACUCAUCAAAUACGUGAGGAAGUCGACCUGUAUGAAAGUCAUACAUAAAUAGUGCAUUAUGAUAAAAAAUAAGGUCAUGAAACUUGAGAAAACGAAGUUGAAUGAAGAGAGGGUUAGUAUGAUCCUGAUAGUUAGAAAAUGUUAUUAAACGAAUAAUCUUUUUUUGUAGGAUAGCUAAUGGAUUCACUGUUGUAUUGUACGUGUUACCCCAAGCAACUAGAGCGUAUGUAAGAAAUGGAUAGAUAAGUGAAUAAUAUAAAUUAAUAAGAAUAUCCAAGGUCACAAAAUUACGUAUUUUUGAGAUAGCUCCAAUAUUGCGCUUUAUCUUUUUGGAGAUUUCUAAAACCUGAGCUUUAAAGUUUAGGUUAGCAUCUAUCACUACACCCAAAUAUUUGAAAUUAGAUGUUUGCUUCAAUAAUUUAUUGUUAAUCGUUAAUUGGAUACUAGAAGAAAUUUUUUUCUGAGGAGGGUGAAAUAUAACAAAGUUUGUCUUAUCGAUGUUAAGCGACAAUUUGUUAACACAGAGCCAUUUAUUUAUAUGCUCAAGUUGACUAUUUAUAGUAGAUUCAAGAAUUGGUAGGCUUUUAUUAUCAAAGAAUAAGCUUGAAUCGUCAGCAAAAAGAAAAAAGUCAAGAAUUCUGGAGGAAUUACAAAAAUCAUUUAUAUAGAUUAGAAAUAGAAGUGGGCCAAGGACAGAACCUUGAGGUACACCACAUGUAAUAGGCAUUAAAGAUGAUCUAACAUUGCCAAUUGUCACAAACUGUUGCCGAUUCUCUAGAUACGAUUGGAACCAUUUAAGUGCCACGCCUCGUAUACCAUACCAUUCAAGUUUUUGCAAUAAAAUAUGAUGGUUAACUGUAUCAAAUGCUUUCGACAAAUCAAGGAAUACAGCACACGAAUAUUUACCAUCAUCGAUAGCUUUCUGUAUCUUAUCAACUAUUGAUAAAAUUGCAUGUAAUGUAGAAUGAUUUGAACGAAAGCCAAACUGUUUAGUAUAUAUUAUAUCAUAUUUUUCAACAAAGUUUGACAGACGUUUAGACACAAUUUUUUCAAGAAUCUGGUUAAAAAUAGAUAAUAAAGAUAUAGGGCGAUAAUUGUCUAAAAUUAAUUGUGAGCCUUUUUUAUGUACAGGAAUGACACUAGCCAGUUUGAAUUGGCUAGGUACAGUACCAGUUGAAAGACAACAAUUAAAAAUAGAUUCCAAAGGCUUUGAAAUAAAUCUCCUUAGCAAUUUCAGAAUUUUAACUGGUAUGCUAUACGGGCCCGUAGCUUUUGAGGAAUUAAACUGGACAAUUAUUUCUUCAAUUUCGUUAGAGGAAGUUGGAUUCAAGAACAGACUAUUUACUUGGCGAGAAGUCAUAAAUGACACUGGACUUGUAUCAAUACAGGGGACAUCUCUAGUUAAUGCACUUCCAAUAUUAGCAAAAAAAUCAUUAAACCUGUCAGCAAUUGAUUUACUAUCAGUUAUUUCAUCACCAUUAAUAAGUAUCUUUGAGGGUAAACNNNNNNNNNNNNNNNNNNNNGUCACAAACUGUUGCCGAUUCUCUAGAUACGAUUGGAACCAUUUAAGUGCCACGCCUCGUAUACCAUACCAUUCAAGUUUUUGCAAUAAAAUAUGAUGGUUAACUGUAUCAAAUGCUUUCGACAAAUCAAGGAAUACAGCACACGAAUAUUUAUAUUGUGAGCCUUUUUUAUGUACAGGAAUGACACUAGCCAGUUUGAAUUGGCUAGGUACAGUACCAGUUGAAAGACAACAAUUAAAAAUAGAUUCCAAAGGCUUUGAAAUAAAU